AAUCUGCCUUUAGGACGGGGACAACAGUUGGAAACGGCUGCUAAAACCCGAUGUGCCCUUCGGGGUGAAAUAUUUAUAGCCUGAAGAUGAGCUCGCGUCUGAUUAGCUAGUAGGUGAGGUAAAGGCUCACCUAGGCGACGAUCAGUAACUGGUCUGAGAGGAUGACCAGUCACACUGGGACUGAGACACGGCCCAGACUCCUACGGGAGGCAGCAGUGGGGAAUAUUGGGCAAUGGACGCAAGUCUGACCCAGCGACGCCGCGUGCGG
rnacentral:rRNA from 1 species